GGUGGUUUGCCAAUCGGUAAAGUGGGUUUACCCACUUCCACACCGUACACCCUAAAGUACAAAAUUUUAAGCCACAAAGUACAAACUUUUAUAGCAUAAGUGAAUUUUGGGCGGGCCAGAUCUAUUCCAUUUCCUGUAUUUAAAUUUUGAAUUCCCGCAACUAUCUCAAAACCCCCAUUAGCAGCCUUUUUCUCUCAUUUGUAGAGAGAGAGAAGAGAGGAAAAAAGGAGAGUUAAAAACAGAACGAGGAGAGAGAGAGAGACGGGAAGGAAAGCAUGAUAGAGAGUCCGUCAAGGGUAUUGGGUGGCGACCGGAGGCAGUAGCGGAAGGAGAUCUGUAGUCUGAUCGGCGGCUAGGGUUUCUAGUCGAUAUCGGGUGUGUCGCUGGUGGCUCACAUUAAACUCAAAUUCGAUAGGUCAAUUGCUUUGAAACAUGUAGGUCUUUACUUACUACAAAACUCCAAUUUCAUGCUUACUGUUUAUCACAGAAAUUUACAGUUUUGAUUACGGAUUAUUUGCUCAUUUAGCAAUGUUUUUUUUUUUCAAUUUAUGAACGAUGAGGGUGUUCUGCCUUCUGUUAUUCUUAAGAAUAAAGAGGUAAAUGUUCUAAAUUUAACUAAUAUUUUUCAUCUAUAGGAUGUAUUAUUUGGGAUAUCAUUUCCUGCUAGGGUUUAUGAUUUUCUAAAUUGACUUCUAUUUAAGCUUGAAAUUGAGAUAGCAAAUCUAUACACACAACAUUAUAGUAUGAAUAUUAACACUAAACAUGUCAUAAGCUUGCAUUCUUAUAACUUGGUUAAAUGAUACCAAUAUGACAUGCUUGUACACAACCAUUCUGGUAAAUUUUACUUUAUAUAUGAAGCAUUGUAGAAUGAAAAAUGAAGCAUGAUUCCUUUUUUUUUCAUAUAUCUUCAUUCUCUGUUGCAAGUGUUAGUAAGUGUUUGUCGGUUUAUGCGUAUAUCGAUCUUAAUAUGGUUUUCAAGAAGAUGAAUAUUGGUGAUUUUGAGCUUGGAGAUUAUCUUGGUAUGGAUUGACAGGCUGCAGAAAUAGAUAGAUGGAUGGAACAAGAAACAAAAGCAGAAAAACAUAUUCAGAAGCUUUUGUUACUUGGUGUAUAAUACUUCUUCACAUAAUAAUUUUCAUUGUUUUUGGUUUAUAUUCUUUCAUGAAUGUGCAAACUGGAUUUGCUUUUGUGUAGGUGCUGGAGAGUGGAUCAGGUAAAAUUUCUUUAUUUUUCACUGAAUUAUUGCCUUCAUUUAUAGUUUUCAGUCACAUUGUUGUGCUUCCUACUCAAAAAAAUACCAUUACAACCUCCAACUUACUGCGUUUUGGAUAUAUUGAUGAUGGACAAUUGCAGAAUCAGAUGGUUAAAUGUAAAAUAAAUGGGUUGCAUGAGAUUAUGUUUGAUGGUAACAUUUUAAUUACAUACAUAAAGUGAAAAGUGAGUACAUUCUUGUGACGAAAAGGAGAUAAACUUUGUGAAAUAUAAGUAAAAGUUUUUAAAUAUAGGUUAAAAGUAAGGAUAAUUAGGUAAUUUAAUGCAUCUUUGGAUAAACAGUUCUUUUUGUAGGUAAUAACAGUGAUUAUACGAUGUCGGACGUGCAGGGUUAACUCGAACUUGUAGAGAAUGGUUGUUGUGCUCACCUUUGCUUACGCAGCCUCGCGUCUACCUCAUCCUCUUUGUAAUAUUUUGCUUUUCGGAUUUCUUAAUUCGAAGCCGUCAAAGGUGUCACCGCUGCUCCACCAUACCGCUCCGCACACCAUUGUUUCUCUGUGUCGGCUAAUCAAUAUCAAGUUUUUUAUACUUUUUUCUGCACGUUGUCGUUUCUCUUUUGUUGUAGACAAUUUCAUGUUUAGGUCAAUUUUGCAUUAUCAUGGCUCCACUUUAACAUCUUUUUUCCUGGCCAUGGCUGCAUUUUGAAUAACUUUAUGAAAGUCGUCAGGUAUUUUACUUCGAAUGAGUCGAUUCCGAUUAUGUUUGAGAACCUGAGGAAUCUUAAGUUUAAGAGUUCAGAGAGCAACUCAUUCACUUGCAGGUGCUUAAUAAUGUUUAAUUCUAUUGGAUAAUAUUUCAUUUAGCGGUGGCAUUGGGUUUGUGGAUUGAAUUGAUGAGAUUGUGUCAAAUACAUCAACCCGUAUAACCCAAAUACGGUAUUUAACGAGUAUGAAGACCACAACUAUGCCGGGACUGGUAGUAUUGCUACAGAAUCGGUAAGUAGUUUUAUGUUGUUCAUAUUCACACACACUCAUUAAUUUCUCUUACCAUCCCUCUCAUUUAUAUAUAUAGACAUCUAUCUGUGUGUAUAUAUAUUUCUAUCUAAUCAUAAUCUAUUGGGUUUCUAAAUUGUUGAAUAUUAUUUUUAUUAUAAGUUUGUAUCAUGUUGCGUUAUUUGAGUAAUACUUGAGUUUUAAGGUGGAACUUAAAGAAGGUUCUUUAGACCAGUUCAUAAAUGAUAUGGAGCCCUUCUUGAGGAAGUAAGGGAUGCUUGUACGGUUGUGUGAAGGUUUGCAUUUUCUCUUUCUCUUUAAUCAUUUUCUCCAAAAGUAGAAUUUUUAUUGAAACAAUAUUGGUGCUUGAUCUUAUUUAGCACACCGAGCCAGGGGUCUCAUUGGAAGCAACCUCUCUAUUCCUACGGGGUAGAGGUAAGGUUGUCUACAUCGUAAAUACGGAGACGGCAUUUACGACUCAUGAUUCAUUUACCAAAUAUGGUAAAAAAGCAAGGGUCAAUUUAUAGACAGUUAAACAAGUAGACAAAUGUGACGCAAGCAAAAUUAAUACGGAAUCAUGAUUACAUGUUUAAUCGCCACAUUUUUGCAAACGGCGGCACAGUCAUAAUGAUGGUUUCAUUAAUUGUUUCUGAAAAAAUCAAGUGCCCGCACGCGCCCCAACAAACAUAAAAUAUCGUUCUUUACAAAAAUAUCUAAGGAACAAAAGAAAUAUCAAACAAACAAACAUUUAUUCCUCUCCGGAUUCAUCCGCCAUGUAACACCCCGAAAUUAUAAAACUUUAUAUUGAAAUUAUAAAGUGUAAAAUAAACAAAAGAUAAACUAACUAGAAAUAAAUAACCUAGUUAGUCAAGAGUCUAGUUAUAACAAAGGAACUUGAUUAAAACAUUAGAGAUUUACUUGGUUUUAAUUGAGGGGCUAAAAAUGUUAGAAUGGAAACUUAUGUUAUUAAAGCAUAAUAAAUCAAAAUCCAAACACAUCCUUAGAUGUGUCUGGAAUCGAUCAAGAACACAGGGAGCGACCAAGACUCCCCUCAAAACCCUAGCUCUUGCAUUUUCACCUAAUUGAAGGCUCAAAUCCGCUCCAAAUCAAAUUCCAAUCAUAGAUUAGCGAUCACCUCGACGAAGGGGUCAUAAGGCAAGGAAACCGAGUUUUCAAUCGGGCAAGCCGGGGGCGAUACGCGCUUGAAAGGAAAGCCUUGAAGGUGAUGAUGUGGAUCUUAUGGAUGACGGUCAAGCAAGUUUUGAAGAACCGAACACAAGUUUUGAAGCUUCCGCACUAAUCUAAUUAUGUUUAGAUAACGUUGUUAUGUCAAUACUAAAAAAUCUUGAAUGUUUUAAAUAUGUAGUUGGUUAUGUUAAUACACUAUGACGACGUAAAACUUAGCUAUUAACUAAGUUUUUGUUAGAAAGGCAUUUUGUUUUUGCAAGUUGCUUAUUUUAUAAUAAAAUAAUAAGACCUUUUCAA